GAUUUUAGCUGAAAAAGUCAUCAACAACAAAGUUGUAUAACUCAUCAAUAUAUAUAACUUCUAUUUUAGUCAUUUCUUCAUCCGACGAAGUUAUUUAUAAGAUUGUUUACAAAAUGUACAUCUCUCUUAUAGUUUUAUAAACUAUAUAAGAGAUAUGUACAUUUUCUGAACAAUUUUACAAAUCACUUUAUCGGAUGAAGAAAUGACCAAAAUAAAAGUUAUAGAUCUUGAUGAUUUAUACAACUUUGUUAUUGAUGACUUUUUCAGUUGAAAUC
rnacentral:pre_miRNA from 1 species